rnacentral:rRNA from 1 species
GUGUCAGCAGCCGCGGUAAUACGAAGGGGGCUAGCGUUGCUCGGAAUUACUGGGCGUAAAGGGCGCGUAGGCGGACGACUAAGUUGGGGGUGAAAUCCCAGGGCUCAACCCUGGAACUGCCUCCAAAACUGGUCGUCUUGAGUAUGGGAGAGGUGUGUGGAACUCCGAGUGUAGAGGUGAAAUUCGUAGAUAUUCGGAAGAACACCAGUGGCGAAGGCGACACACUGGCCCAUUACUGACGCUGAGGCGCGAAAGCGUGGGGAGCAAACAGGAUUAGAUACCCCAGUAGUCC